rnacentral:rRNA from 1 species
GACGAACGCUGGCGGCGUGCCUAAUACAUGCAAGUAGAACGCUGAAGGAGGAGCUUGCUUCUCUGGAUGAGUUGCGGACGGGUGAGUAACGCGUAGGUAACCUGCCUGGUAGUGGGGGAUAACUAUUGGAAACGAUAGCUAAUACCGCAUAAUAGCAGUUGUUGCAUGAUAACUGUUUGAAAGGUGCAAUUGCACCGCUACCAGAUGGACCUGCGUUGUAUUAGCUAGUUGGUGGGGUAACGGCUCACCAAGGCGACGAUACAUAGCCGACCUGAGAGGGUGAUCGGCCACACUGGGACUGAGACACGGCCCAGACUCCUACGGGAGGCAGCAGGAGGGAAUCUUCGGCAAUGGACGGAAGUCUGACCGAGCAACGCCGCGUGAGUGAAGAAGGUUUUCGGAUCGUAAAGCUCUGUUGUAAGAGAAGAACGAGUGUGAGAGUGGAAAGUUCACACUGUGACGGUAUCUUACCAGAAAGGGACGGCUAACUACGUG